UCCAGAUCCGACGUCAUAUACCGUAUCCCAUGUGGAGGUUGUAACUCGGUGUAUAUUGGCCAAACAGCCCAAUGCCUAAGAAAACGCAUCGCCCUCCACAGGAGUGAUGCUAGACUGCGACCGGAAAGGUGUGCAUUGGCAAGCCACUCGUCCUUACUUGGCCAUACUUUCCUAUAUGAUGACGUCGAAAUACUAAGCACAAGUUCAAAUUACAACAAAAGAACUUUUCUAGAAAUGUGUUUCAUCAACGAGAACACAAAUAAUAUUAAUAAAAAGACUGACCUGAAGAAUCUGAGUGUUGUGUAUAGUUACCUGUUAUCCCUAGACCGAUGUCGUGACGAUAACAAUACAGUGGAUGUCAUUACUUGAUCUUGUUACUUUUCUGUGUUUCACCUUAUUUUGUGACAGUAACCUAUAAGAAGUGAUUUGACUCCACACCAGCUCGUUUCUGUUUCAUUGUUAAGCAGAGAAAAAUAAUGUUUUAAAUGUGAUCGUAUAACUUCCUGAUGCUCUCCUUGUUAGUUUUAUAGUACACUUGUCGGAUCAUCCUGAAGAAGAAACGCAAUCAGUUUCGAAAUAUAGAUGUAAAUGA